rnacentral:rRNA from 1 species
UACGUAGGGUGCGAGCGUUGUCCGGAAUUAUUGGGCGUAAAGGGCUCGUAGGCGGUUUGUCGCGUCGGGAGUGAAAACACCGGGCUUAACUCGGUGCUUGCUUUCGAUACGGGCAGACUAGAGGUAUGCAGGGGAGAACGGAAUUCCUGGUGUAGCGGUGAAAUGCGCAGAUAUCAGGAAGAACACCCGUGGCUAAGGCGGCUCUCUAGUACGGUACUGACGCUGAGACGCGAAAGCGUGGGGAGCGAACAGG